UACAGAGGUCUCAAGCGUUGUUCGGAUUCAUUGGGCGUAAAGGGCGCGUAGGCGGCGGGGUAAGUCGGGUGUGAAAUUUCGGAGCUUAACUCCGAAACUGCAUUUGAUACUGGCGUGCUUGAGGACUGGAGAGGAGACUGGAAUUCAUGGUGUAGCAGUGAAAUGCGUAGAGAUCAUGAGGAAGACCAGUGGCGAAGGCGGGUCUCUGGACAGUUCCUGACACUGAGGCACGAAGGCCAGGGGAGCAAACGGG
rnacentral:rRNA from 1 species